rfam:Gossypium hirsutum cultivar TM-1 chromosome 9, whole genome shotgun sequence
UGUUAAAAUUUUCAUCUAUUUUUAUUGUUAAAAACUGGCGUGGAUGACGAAAUAACCAGACAGUGCCACUUGUACUUCAUUAUGAUAUACAAAUAUCAGUUUUUAACAAUAGAAUCGAAUGAAACUUUUAACA